GGCGCUAUAGCCAAGUGGUUACGGCGACAGAUUCGAAUGCCACUGAGUUCGCUUUUCAUCUGUUCCUCUUUGAGGGCGCAGGUUCAAAUCCUGCUGGCGUCG